rnacentral:misc_RNA from 1 species
GAUGAAGAACGCAGUGAAAUGCGAUAAGUAAUGUGAAUUGCAGAAUUCAGUGAAUCAUCGAAUCUUUGAACGCACAUUGCGCCCGUCAGUAUUCUGGCGGGCAUGCCUGUUCGAGCGUCAUUACGCCCCUCCAGUCCCCUGUGGACUUGGUGUUGGGGAUCGGCGAGGCUGGUUUUCCAGCACAGCCGUCCCUUAAAUUAAUUGGCGGUCUCGCCGUGGCCCUCCUCUGCGCAGUAGUAAAACACUCGCAACAGGAGCCCGGCGCGGUCCACUGCCGUAAAACCCCCCAACUUUUUAUAGUUGACCUCGAAUCAGGUAGGACUACCCGCUGAACUUAAGCAUAUCAAUAAGCGGAGGA